rnacentral:misc_RNA from 1 species
UUUGGCUUGGUGUUGGGUGCCGUCCCCCCGCGAGGUUGGGGCGCGCCCGGAAAUCAGCGGCGGUGCAGCCGGGCGAUCGAGCGUAGUAAAAGCCACAAACUUUUCGCUUCGAGCUCGCCCGGACGUUCUGGCCGGACAAAAACCCCCCAUCUUUCUCAAAGAUUGACCUCGGAUCAGGUAGGGUUACCCGCUGAACUUAA